rnacentral:rRNA from 1 species
GACGAACGCUGGCGGCGUGCUUAACACAUGCAAGUCGAACGAUGAAGCCAGCUUGCUGGUGGAUUAGUGGCGAACGGGUGAGUAACACGUGGGUGAUCUGCCCCAAACUUUGGGAUAAGCCUGGGAAACUGGGUCUAAUACCGAAUAUGACCGAUACUCGCAUGGGUGUUGGUGGAAAGCUCCAGCGGUUUGGGAUGGGCCCGCGGCCUAUCAGCUUGUUGGUGGGGUAAUGGCCUACCAAGGCGACGACGGGUAGCCGGCCUGAGAGGGCGACCGGCCACACUGGGACUGAGACACGGCCCAGACUCCUACGGGAGGCAGCAGUGGGGAAUAUUGCACAAUGGGCGCAAGCCUGAUGCAGCGACGCCGCGUGAGGGAUGACGGCCUUCGGGUUGUAAACCUCUUUCACCAGGGACGAAGCGAAAGUGACGGUACCUGGAGAAGAAGCACCGGCCAACUACGUG